rnacentral:rRNA from 1 species
GUUUAACACAUGCAAGUCGAACGGAAACGAAAAUAGCUUGCUAUUUGGCGUCGAGUGGCGAACGGGUGAGUAACGCGUAGGAAUCUACCCAGUAGAGGGGGAUAGCCCGAAGAAAUUCGGAUUAAUACCGCAUAAUCUCUACGGAGUAAAGAAGGCCUCUUUACAAUGCUUUUACUAUUGGAUGAGCCUGCGUUAGAUUAGUUAGUUGGUAGGGUAAAAGCCUACCAAGGCGACGAUCUAUAGCUGGUUUUACGAGAAUGAUCAGCCACACUGGAACUGAGACACGGUCCAGACUCCUACGGGAGGCAGCAGCGAAGAAUAUUGGACAAUGGGGGAAACCCUGAUCCAGCAAUGUUGCGUGUGUGAAGAAGGUCCGAGGAUUGUAAAGCACUUUCAGUAAGCAAGAAAAAUGUAAAUCUAAUAGAUUUGCAUGUUGACCACUUAUAGAAGAAGCACCGGCUAACUCCGUGCCAGCAGCCGCGGUAAUACGGAGGGUGCGAGCGUUAAUCG